GAUGAACGCUGGCGGCGUGCCUAAUACAUGCAAGUCGAGCGAACGGACGAGAAGCUUGCUUCUCUGAUGUUAGCGGCGGACGGGUGAGUAACACGUGGAUAACCUACCUAUAAGACUGGGAUAACUUCGGGAAACCGUAGCUAAUACCGGAUAAUAUUUUGAACCGCAUGGUUCAAAAGUGAAAGACGGUCUUGCUGUCACUUAUAGAUGGAUCCGCGCUGCAUUAGCUAGUUGGUAAGGUAACGGCUUACCAAGGCAACGAUGCAUAGCCGACCUGAGAGGGGGUCGGCCCCACAGGGACUUGGGACACGGGCCAAAUCCCUCGGGGAGGAAGCAGGGGGAAAUUUCCCGGAAGGGGGGAAAGCCUGAGGGAGCAACCCCGCGGGGGUGAUGAAGGUUUUCGGAUCGUAAAACUUUUUUAUUAGGAAAGAAAAAUUGUUUAAGUAACUUUGAACAUCUUGAGGGGACCUAAUCAAAAAGCCCCGGCUAACUGCUG
rnacentral:rRNA from 1 species